ensembl:lncRNA
UUGACUGUGGGUAGAGAGAGGUACUAAAAUGGAGCUGCAGCAGACAAUGUGGCAAAGCUGAGGCUUGAUACAGCUCUCCAAAGACAAUGCUGGCACCAGACUGGUGAUGUCUUAAAGAAGUUCAUGCUGGCUGUCUGGCAAGAUGCAGCUGUGGUUGACUCAGGUCUGCACCUUCCUUCAAAUAGCAGAUGAUAUCUCUUUUUUUAAGAGUGGCUCUGCAGAGUUGAAAGUAACCACUUGAGUGAGAGCCUACGUCUUGCCUCUUCUGUGGCAUGUUCAUUUCACAAGCUUUUCUGCCUCUUGUUUACAAAGCCACCAAAAGGGACUUGCAGGCUGACUACACUGAAUUGUCAUUGCUGUGGAGUAAAAAAACUGCCUCAAGACUUGUGAGAUGCAGAUGGAGCGUUAAACAGUGAAGGGAAACUAAAGGGAUAAAAUGAGAAAAUGGAAGGCGUUCUGAUUUUGUAUUGUACCUGGCUGUGGCUGAAGACUUUCUUCUUGUCUGAGGAAUGUGACCAGAUACGAGCAGAUUGUUUCUCCAGGAAUGGUGACAAUACUUGCUGGUUGCUCAGUGAGAAUGGGGAACUGUGCAUGGCAAGAGCUGCCAUGUCCCCAGCCAGUUCAGCAAUCUCUGCUCCAAGAAAACAAGCUCCUGCUCCCAACCACUUCAUAGAGAAGCCAGUGCAUACAACCUAUGGAGAACUACAGUCCAGCCCAGUAAGGGUAAGUCUCUGGCCUUGCCCUGCUUUUCACAGGUCAGUGUUAGAGCUCUGCGACUACUCUGGCCAGAAAUCUGCUACCUCUGAACUGUAG